GCCUUCGGGGUGUAAUGGUCAGCACACUGAGCCAGUAUUUCAGAGGUCCGCGGUUCGAUUCCCCGGCGAAGGCA
rnacentral:tRNA from 1 species